CCGCAUGAGUGCUCCAGGUGGUGACAGCUGUUAGGAACCCUGAGGGAAGCUCAUGAAACAGGCCCUUGCAGAUCCCAGCACCUCAGUUACUAGUGAACUCCUCACUUCCUCCCUCACCUCCUCCCUCACCUGCUUCUCAGGUGUUCUAGCUGGCAGUACAGCCAACCUCUGCUGUGAAGAUGAUCCCUGCCUUCUCCCAUUUUAGAUUGAAUCUACAACUUCAACUCAAGCUCUUGGAUCAGCUGUUGGUGAUUUCUGGACUGGCAGGUAUUCAAAGCUGAUUUUGAGGGGUGCAGGGAUAAAC
rnacentral:lncRNA from 1 species